GAUGAAGAACGUAGCGAAAUGCGAUAAGUAAUGUGAAUUGCAGAAUUCAGUGAAUCAUCGAAUCUUUGAACGCACAUUGCGCCCGCCAGUAUUCUGGCGGGCAUGCCUGUUCGAGCGUCAUUUCAACCAUCAAGCCCCCCCGGCUUGUGUUGGGGACCUGCGGCUGCCGCAGGCCCUGAAAAGCAGUGGCGGGCUCGCUGUCACACCGAGCGUAGUAGAUCUCAUCUCGCUCAGGGCGUGCUGCGGGUUCCGGCCGUUAAACCACCUUCAUAACCCAAGGUUGACCUCGGAUCAGGUAGGAAUACCCGCUGAACUUAAGCAUAUCAAUAAGCGGAGGA
rnacentral:misc_RNA from 1 species